GGGCCUCUAGCUCAAUGGUAGAGCUACCGGCUCAUAACCGGUUGGCUGGGGGUUCGAGUCCCUCGAGGCCCA
rnacentral:tRNA from 1 species